GACGAACCACCCAAACGUUAUUCGGAAUCACUGGGCUUAAAGCGUGCGUAGGCGGCCUUGAAAGUUAGGUGUGAAAUCCCACAGCUCAACUGUGGAACUGCGCUUAAAACUACAAGGCUAGAGGGAUAUAGAGGUGAGCAGAACAGAUGGUGGAGCGGUGAAAUGCGUUGAUAUCAUCUGGAAUACCGGAGGCGAAGGCGGCUCACUGGGUAUCUUCUGACGCUGAGGUACGAAAGCUAGGGGAGCGAACGGG
rnacentral:rRNA from 2 species